rnacentral:rRNA from 1 species
UACGUAGGGUGCAAGCGUUGUCCGGAAUUAUUGGGCGUAAAGAGCUCGUAGGCGGUUUGUCGCGUCUGCUGUGAAAACCCGCAGCUCAACUGUGGGCUUGCAGCUGAUACGGGCGGGCUAGAAUUCGGUAGGGGAGACUGGAAUUCCUGGUGUAGCGGUGAAAUGCGCAGAUAUCAGGAGGAACACCGGUGGCGAAGGCGGGUCUCUGGGCCGAUAUUGACGCUGAGGAGCGAAAGCGUGGGGAGCGAACAGG